UGCAAGUCGAGCGAAUGGAUUAAGAGCUUGCUCUUAUGAAGUUAGCGGCGGACGGGUGAGUAACACGUGGGUAACCUGCCCAUAAGACUGGGAUAACUCCGGGAAACCGGGGCUAAUACCGGAUAACAUUUUGAACCGCAUGGUUCGAAAUUGAAAGGCGGCUUCGGCUGUCACUUAUGGAUGGACCCGCGUCGCAUUAGCUAGUUGGUGAGGUAACGGCUCACCAAGGCAACGAUGCGUAGCCGACCUGAGAGGGUGAUCGGCCACACUGGGACUGAGACACGGCCCAGACUCCUACGGGAGGCAGCAGUAGGGAAUCUUCCGCAAUGGACGAAAGUCUGACGGAGCAACGCCGCGUGAGUGAUGAAGGCUUUCGGGUCGUAAAACUCUGUUGUUAGGGAAGAACAAGUGCUAGUUGAAUAAGCUGGCACCUUGACGGUACCUAACCAGAAAGCCACGGCUAACUACGUGCCAGCAGCCGCGGUAAUACGUAGGUGGCAAGCGUUAUCCGGAAUUAUUGGGCGUAAAGCGCGCGCAGGUGGUUUCUUAAGUCUGAUGUGAAAGCCCACGGCUCAACCGUG
rnacentral:rRNA from 1 species